GAAACAGCCCCCAGUUCACUCCAUUGCUAGCCAAUCACGUAGAGGGAUCGGAUCACCCGCCUCUGCGCAUCCCUUGAUGGCUUGCUCUCCCUCUUCCCGGAGGUGUUGGUCGCUCCAAUCACAGCUCGCGCGUGAGGCUCCGCCCACAGCCUCAAGUGCCUUCAGUCUACGAAGGUUCCGCAGGCGCGCGGGCUGGCGCGGUUCCCCGCCGGCUACUUUGGGAUAGGAGUUUCGGAAGGCGUCUGGAUGGCCUCCCAGGCCUUCCGCCCUCGGCGCUCUCCGAGGUCUCCGAGGCCAGUGUCCUGCCUCUCCCUCCCUGUGCCCACGCUGGGUGUGUAAUAAACGGGGAGGGUUCUGGCUCGAAGCGAUUGCCGGCGUGUGGUCACCUCCUCCGUGGGAUCCCCGGGCCAGUCCUCCGGUGCAGAAGCUACGUUUGCCUGGAGGCAAGGGGGCCUCACCACUGCAUGCCUUUUCCUGCGUCUUAUACCUCCUGGACCACACCCUCCGAGAGACUGGGGUAGUCCUGGAAUGUGGGUCCUCGGAAAUCUGGGAGUUCCGAUACUGGCCAAGGCCGAAACCAUGUCAUGAAAUGAGAUGCCAGAAUAAUCUUCCUCAGGUGCGAUUUUCAACGGUCAACUAAGAACCAUUAGUGGUGGCUUUGCCAUGGGUGUCAAGUCUCAAGAAUUACCCCAGACUCCUUUAUUUACAGCCCCACCUCAAUAUUUAUCAGUCCUCUAGUCCUGUUUUCUGGAACAAACGUUUAAGUCUGUCAUUUUCCCUCUUGAUUAGAUCCCUACCCAGUUUAUUGUAGUUCCUUAACUAUAGAAACCUCUUUUUUUUCUGGGAAGAAGAGAUAAGAGUAUAGGGAAAAGAAAGUUACUAUUUAUCAGUCAUUCACUAUAUGCCAAGCAUGUCCUUUCAUAUAGUCUUCCUAAUAAUUCUGAGAUCAGUAAAUACUAUUGGCAUUUAAAGGAUGAAAAUGAAGCUCAGAGAACUUAAGUACCGUGUACAAGUCGUAGAGUCAGGAUUCCUAUCUGGUAUGUCUGAUACCCAAAGGCUGUGUUUUUGCACUAGGCCAGUGUUUCUCAACUGGUCAUCUCCCCCCCCCCCCCCCCCACAUUAGCACCCACCAAGUUAAUUAAAUUAAAAUUCUUUCUGAUUAGAGAAAUUAAAUAUUAGGGAAUAAGAUUUUGUCAGGUAGGGUUGAGUUUUGAAAGCCGCACACCAUUGUAUUAUCUAACUUUUUUGGCACCCAUUAAGAAUCUCUUUUCACCCAGAAUAAAAUGCAAUCUUUGUCACCAUUUGAGGAUAUCACUCUGUUGAGACUGAGUGUAAUAGGCUUAUGCUGGAGGUCAUAGUCUGCCAAUAUGAGGCUUAGAUUUGACCUUUAAUUUUAUUGACCUGAGAUAAAUCCUUUUUUAAAAAGACACAUUUAUGCCAGUAGAAAUAGGUACCUGCUUCAUGGUCUGUAUCCAAAGGUCUAUUCAGCAGCUUCUCUUGGACUCCCAUUGCAUCUAGUACUUAGUUCAUCAAAGCACUUGGUCUACUCUACUGUAGUUGACUUUAAGUAAGCAUCAAGACAGGAACUGUCAUUCAAAUGAGCAUGCCUAGCAUCUUUCAUAGCACAUU